rnacentral:rRNA from 1 species
AGGCACCACUGGGGCGUCUUUUACGGGAGGCACCAGUGGGAUAUAUCACACAAGGGGGGAAACCGAGAUCCACCCAGUCCGAAAGAGUUAUUAAGGCCCUAGGGUUAUAAAUUUUUUUUGUGCGGGAAGAUAAUCACGGUCCCACAAGAAAAAGCCCGGUAAAUCUUUGCCCCCACAGGCGGUAUAAUGUAGGGGGCGAGAGUUUUUCUGAGAUUCUGGGGGUAAAAAGGGUGCGUGGGGGGUUUUAUAAGUCAGGGGAGAAAUCCGGGAGCUAAACUCCAGAUCCGCCUUUGAUACUGAAGAUAUAGAGUUCGGGAGAGGGGAGUGGAACUCGGAGUGUAGAGGAAAAAUUUGUAGAUAUGCACAAGAACCCCAGUGGAGAAGGCCCCUCUGGGCCCCGACACUCACGGUGACGCGAAAAAGCGUGGGGAGCACACAGGAUUAGAUCCCCUGGUAGUCCACCCUGUAAACGAUGAAUUCCAUCUGUUAGGGGUUUACUCAUUAGUGGCGCAGCUAACGC